rnacentral:rRNA from 1 species
AUGCACGAGUACUGUGAGCUCCCUGGAUGUAGAGAUGUCCUGAGCUGCGAAGAGGUUGCUGAGAUAAUGAUACCGACCACUCUGAAGUUAUCUAUGCUUCGUAGCAGAGUGAUCUUGAUGCGUUCAUUUAACAAAGUUGUCAAGCUCCAUCAUGAACACUUUGCUCUUGCUGGAAAGUUUUCCUCGAAGAACUUCCAAAUCUAUCAAGAUGACUCCAUCAAGCUUGAUGGUCUGGCCGAGGGCGCGAUAGUGGAGUACCGUGAGGCUGUUGGGGACCUUGACUACCGCCAAUUUGUUCAUAUGGUUACCGAGGAGGUAUUUCAUGGUCAGAAGCUACCAUUUGAUCUGACCGAGUGGCUAAGGAUCAUAUCCCAGGGAGUGAACGCGUGUGAUGGCAGCCUACUCUGUAGUCAUAUUGACCUGAUGGAGCCUUAUCAAGGAUAUGGAAACUUUGUCUCAUUGUUUCAGCUGUUCUGGAAAGUCAAAGAUACCGCUGGUGGAGAAGAUCUUCUGAACUCCUUGGGACAUUACAAAGGAUGGAAAUCUGAAGGCCUGCGUUGUUCGUUUCUUCGUGAUACACUGAACUACGAGGACGAUGAUGGCCAUAGAUUUGAAUAUGAAGAUGACAUAAGAGGCCUUCUGAGGUUGUUGAUGAACUCCUUCCGUCACUCAGCAAAAAGCCACUGCAGGCUCGCUAUCUACCUGAUUAUGAAUGAGUUCCGCAGGUUGCUAUCUGAUCUUCAAAGGGCAUUGCACUAG